GGUGGCUCAGUGGUAGAGCGCUUGCCUUGCAAGCAUGAGGCCCUGGGUUCAAUUCCUCAGCACCA
rfam:Dipodomys ordii contig_51289, whole genome shotgun sequence.